CUUCGUGGCAUCUUGCUGUAAGCAGCAAAAGAAGCGUUGGAUAGAAAGCAGCAAGAUGAGUGAUGGCUCUUGGCAGGUUCAUUCAUCAACAGCACUAUUACUCAUUUCAUACAUUGCCACCAGCUAACGUAGCAAAAACACGGCAAGGAAAACGUGCCUAACAAAUGAUUGCUUCAUUUAUUGAAAGGGUCGUGUACACCGGUGCAAUAAGCUUUUACAAAGCACGUCAGUGCAGGAAAAUGAUCAGAAAGCUGUGGAAUCAAUGACAAAAAGGACAGGAGGGCCUUGAUAGGUUGCCCCGUUCCCGUGUCCUAGGUAGGACGAACUUUCCUGUAUCUUACUGCCACUCUUUAAGAUGUACAAUGAUUAAUUUUGAGAAAACCGGUUGAAAAGUUCCUGGUGUUUGUCAAACAGCACGUCGAAGCUAGCAAAAGGUUAAUAAUGCACCAGUCAUGUUUUCCAUCCGAUAGUUGGUAAUUAACAAAUAUCACGGCCAAGACACCUCAGAUUAAGCAAUCAAGAAGCCAUAAAGAGAUAUCCAGUUGCAGUCAUUCACAUUUCAGCUCAUUUGCUCAGAAAGAACCGUUCCGAUCAGAGCAGGGUGCAGCGGCCAGGGCACCCCGCGCCGCUCACCUACAGCAUGGCACGUGUGCUCGGCGCUCUGCAGCAGCAGCUGCACGCCUCCACCUCCAAAGGUUUUGUUCUCCUUUGUGGUAUGCGAGCAUUUCUCAGCGGUGAGUCAAGGCCAGGAUUCCCCUACAGAGCGCCGUGCAGCACAGGGCAGCACCGUGCACCUGGCUUCGCCCUAUCCAGUGGCUACUUAGGGUUUUCCAGAUCUGCUUUCUGCUUGGAAAGAACUCGAGCCAAAAUUCCUGACCGGUCAUAGUUCACUUCAUCAUUAAUAACUCGGGGAGGUCUUUUGUAAAUUUCAUAUGCAGGGGAAUGCUGGUAAGCACAAUCACAUCAGUGUUAAACAAACCAAUGGUUAAAAACAGUCACUCUCGACUUAAAUACUGCGAGCAAAAAGAAGAUGUUGAUCCCAAGCUUUUGAGCCUCGAGCAACUUGAAGUAUCAGUGGAAGAACACCACCUGUGGAGCUUUGUCUUCCUUUAAAUCUUUUUGUAUAUAUACAUAUGAACAAAGAAACAGCCCACGACAAAUCUAAAACCCCAGUUAUGGUGGAGUUUCACUCUCCUUAUUGUGCCGAUACCUUCCUAUCAGUUCUAAAGACACACAGACACGUGGUCAUGCUCAGUCUGCAUGAACACAUUAAGGCUGAGCUCGUGAUGCUUGAUCUGCUUCGACACUGCUUCAUGCUGGAGCAGAUAGAAAGUGUGGUGACCUAAGGAUGGUGAGCUAAGACAAGCAGACCUUCACGUUCAUCUCCAGCGUUGUUUAGAAGAACUCUUCGCCACCCGCCAGAUCCAAACUGUGAUGACUAAGGUUGUUAUCCUUAAUGGAUGCUGUGCAGUUCUGAGUUUGCUUGAGGCAGGGAGGGGGGAGGCAAGGAGGGAGCUGGGGGAGACGCUAGCAGGAGGUGUUCUGUGUAAGUGCCAAAGAAAGGAAAAAAAAAACAAACAGUAAGCAGAUGCUUGCAUGGUCCUGAAAAUGCAGGAGAAAAUUGGUAGUAUGUGAAGUCACUGGGAAAUUGGAAAUGUCCCAUUGGGUCAAUGAGGGUUAUGCCUGGGCAUACUUGUACCCAGCUUUAACACCACAGCCUCACACUAAGAGUACUUAUGCUGGGAACCAUGAAACAGCUUGAGGAGAACUGCCAGAAUCUGAUUUCGUCCAGCUGGGUGGCGAGAAGGCGGUUUGGCUCCUACUCUUCCUCCUUUUCUUUAUUUGCACUAGCUUCCACUGUCACGAUCCUCCCCUCGCGGCCAGCCCUCAGCAAGAAGCCCGAUGGGAGGAGUAAGGGUGCCAAGUUCCUCCCUGGCUGUUGGUGGGUGACUCACGGAGCUUCCCAGCCACCACCACCCCUUCCUGCCGGCGCUCGGCGAGGGCUGACUCAGGUGUGCCGGGAACCGCGCUCCCUGCGCCUUCAGUGGGGGCUACGUGGAGGGUGCCAGGAGGGAAAGGGACGUGUCGGAACUCGCUGCUUCGCCGGCAGCGAGGCUCCUUUUACAUAGAGAGUGCUUUGUUCGGAGCUGGAAGGUAAAGAAGGAAAUUCAGAGUCUCUGAACAGCUGCCGGACAGCGCCAAACGUUCCCAGUAGGGCCCAGUGAAAAUCUCUCCUUGUGCUGUUGGGUGUCCCGCAGGGUUAGCGAGGUGACGGCCAGGGAAGGGAAGUUUCUCUUCCCCUGGCGCUUCCCCUGGAUUCACACCGCACAGCCGCAGCUGAGCGCGGUCUGCCCGGGCACGCAGAGGGCAAUCGCGCCCAACCACCACGUGGUGGGACUGAAGGGCAGCAGCACGCGACCCUAUGUCCAAAGGAUCCGCGUUCUGCAGGAAAAAUAGCAGCUCUCAGGCCAGCCUUUUUCAUCCCAAUUAAACCUGAGUGGUGGUAUAAGGACCAAAGGUCUGGGCUCCACGGAUACCAUCAAGCUAGAGAAGAAACACAGGAAACGAGCAGAAUUCCUUUUUCUUUUCUGAAAUAUUUUAUAGCAGUGUGCGGCACCAAAAUCAGAUUUAGAUGAAAACAAGCUACCUCUCUUCACCUGGCCUAUGAACCAGCAGAUCCUACUCUACACGUCUGCUAUUUCUCCUGGCUAGAGCAUUUCCUAUAGCCUGCUUUGUCCCCCAGUCCGUGAGGAAGACGUGGAAGUGGUGAAUCAUUUGAGAGCUAAAAAAAAAGACGUGUCAUGACUGAUCACUUCAGUCCUGCUGCUUUAUCGAGCUCACAAUUGCGUUUAAUGUCCAGAGUGGCCUGUUCUGGCAUGCCAGCAUCACUUGGGGUUAUGCUCUGCCUUCCUCUUCCCUAGAUCUCUUUAUUUUUUUUCACAUGGCAGUGCUGAUGACUUAAGACACAUUUUAUUUAACUCUUCUAUUGGCAAAAGCUGCUGUGAGGUGUGCUUGCAUGGGGCAGGCUGUGAACGUAAUGGUCUCCCCAUCUGCUUGCUUUAAAAGAAAGGGGAAAAAAAAAAAGGUUUAACCCCAUCUGACAGCUGAUGUAAGGCUCAGCCCUUCUCCCCUCCCCAGUAAUCACAUUAUUCACUGGGAUGGAAAAACAGAGCCGGUGUUCAUUUCCUCCAUUCCCACACCUUGCAACCCGGCACAAGCUCCUGCCACCUCUUGCCCUUCAGGGACCAAUUACUGCAGGUGAAACCGAACGCAGGAGCAGUGUUGCUAGGGGUGGGAGGUGGGGACUGGGACUUAACGCAACUUUGGAAGCCCAGCAAGAAAUCCAGAUGGGCAACUGCAAGCCUCCUAGAAAGGAAAGCUGGGGGCGAUUUGGAAAUGGCAUGUAUAGGGGCUGCUGGGGCCGUCCCCAGGGCACGCAGCUUUGAGGAGGAUGCUGCCUGCGCAGGAGUGGUGCAGCACCGGGGGCCUUCAAGCUUUAUUCCUUGCAGUAUUCUUUCCCAUCCGUGUGGUGACACUGUCAGAAUCCAACCUGUUACUGGAGGUAGAUAGAGGGCGAGCUUGAAGAAUUCGAACUCGGUGCAUCUAGGCUUCUGUAGAUGGGCCUCAGAGCGAUGGAGUGGCUUGUGUUCUCCUCCUCAUGCCUCUGACCCCUCUGUUCCCUCUGACUGAGACGGAGAAAUGAGCCACAAACAGUUUUAAAAACAUGUAAGAAAGCAAAAGCUGCUACCACGGAGGAGAUGCAGGACAGCACCGCGUUCUCCCCGCUUCUUUAUUUCUCAGUUUUCCUCCCUCAGCGCAGAGCACGUGGGCACAGCUCCCACUGUCUGCAAACAUCUUGGAUCUUGUGCGCCUGUAUCACAACUUCUUCCUCGAGAAACAGCCCCUUUCCAGCUUUGUUCCUGUAAUUACAGCGCGACACAGGAUGGACGGGGAGAGGAGGGCCGUAAUUAGGAUCCGUUCAAAAAAGCAUUUCCUGUGCUGAGCACAGAUCUCCUGCCAGCGCUGCCGCUGCUGUCUCCCGACCGCUCAUUCUGCACGCAGUGCCAGCUGUCACCAAGCCACGCUUCGCCUCCUUUUUGCUUUGUGCAAAACCUUGAUUUUCCCUUUUUUUCCCCCCCCAUCCCUUUCCCUGGUGGCACUGUCAAGCGAAGCUCGCUGUACGACGGCACUGCUCCGUGCGGCUCUAGCGUCUUUCAUCUCAAGGUUUAAUGCUGCAUUCAAGCAUUGCCUGUGAACUAUCUACAUUUUAAUUUUUCUUCAUUUUGUGGUUGGGCGCGCUCGUCUUUCUUGGGUUAUUUUGUCACACUUUAGUCCAAAGCUGCGCCUUUGGAGACUGUGGAUGCAUUUCUCUCUGUGAAUAGCUGCCAUUUGCGGUGAGAGGUGUAGAAAAAUGCGGCAUUUUGACUCCUGGGAGCGUCCUGACGUUAAAGAACAGCCAGCGACCUGAAGAUGCUCCUUCCAGAAGGGAUUUUCCAUGUUGGCAGACAAAGGACUGCUGUAGUUUCUGCAGCAAUCUCCAAGGCAGUGGCUUCCAGUGCGGUGUAGAACCACGCCUACGAUGGAGGAAUAAUCAUAGAAUCCUAGUAUUGCCUAGGUUGGAAACGACCUUCAAGAUCAUCAAGUCCAACCUCAGUCUAACCAUGCUGCCCUAACCCUAACAACCCACUGCAUAGAAUCGUAGAUAAGGAUGAUUCCUUUUCCAAAUCACCACAUUGCAGGUUCCUGCAAUGACAAACCCGUGUCACAACAAGAAAAAUAGGUCAGGUUUUCCUUCAGUGUAACGCCUUGGGGACAGGCUGACAUCUGAGAUUCAUGCAACUGAUGCACCGCUUCCUUAAUACUAAUAAAUUGUUUUUAUGGGAAAGAAAGAUCAGCACUGCUCCCCCGUCGGCGAGCUGAAAAGUGUAACAUUGCUAAGCACAUCUCUAACACUGAACGUGCAAUUUGUAAAGCCUAGCAUUUCCUAACACCUACCAGGUUGGAUAAGUUGUUUUGUGUUUUUAUUGUUUUUACUAUUUGGCAUCCAAAUGUGCGCAGUCCGCGAAGCAGCGCUUAGCUUCCUCAUUUGAAUGAUCCGUGCACAGUUGAUCCCUGCUUUACAAAUGGCAUUCUGCUCACUCGUUGCUGGCUGCGUUGGUUCCGGGAGCUCAUGGAGAACUGUGAUGCUGUAGCUCUCUUCCUGCAGGCCUCAUCCACACUACGUGUUGGUCUUCUUUCCUGACUUUCUUUCGUGUCCUCUUCUCUGAGGACAAGGCUUGAUACUUCUUGCCCUGAUAGAAUCACAGGAUCACUGAGGCUGGAAAAGACCUCUAAGAUCAACCUGUCCAACCGUCCACCUACCACCAGCAUUGCCCACCGAACCAUGUCCCUAAGGAUUAUGUCCAACCUUUCCUUAGACACCUCCGUGACAGUGACUCCCCACCUCCCUGGGCAGCCCGUGCCAAUGCAUCACUGCUCCUUCAGAGAAGAAAUUCUUCCUAAUAUCCAACCUGAUGACACACUCACCAUCUGAAACCCGUAUAAAAUAGAUCUAAAAGGCAUCCUAUCAGGUCGCAUGCUUGUCCCGCUGUGUCACUGCCUCGCUAAUGCUGCUCCAUGUGAGCAGGCAAGACUGUGUCAAAGAUGAAUGAUCAAGGUAACUGAGCACCCAUUCACGUGUUUUUCAGUUAUCCCACAUCUCGGGAACUCUCUCAGGAUUCCAGAAUCGGUUGGACUUACCUGAGCCUGCUCUACCUAUUGAAACAUACGGUUGCCAACAGUGUGGAUAGCAGCAGGUAACCAGAGUUUCUAAGGAAAGAGAGGCCCUCUCCCAUCUCGGUUUUAACAUUGGAGACAGGUUCAGAUCAAAACUAACCUCAGAAUCUCAACCAAGUUCAGUCACCGGCCGCAAAGCAGCACCUGUGCCUGAUGUUCCCAAGCAUAAAACCUCUGCCUGUGUCACACGAGCAAAGGGAUUUGGCAGCGGGGCCCUUGGAACAACUCAGGCUGAGACACAGUUGGCCCCUGGGCACAGAGCGGUGGCUGCAGGCUGUGACACUGAGCUGGGCACUGCCAUGCUCUGAGCCAAACAGGUUUGCGUUGCUCAGCAAGAUGACCUGCGGCUGACCCCUCCAGACACCGUCUCUGCGCUGCAUGCUCGCAGACUAAUGUUGUUUAGAGAUUGGCCAAGCUCAUGAGGUCAUCUCAUUCUUACAGACGCUUUUGGACUGCUGUGCGUGGCACUGGCGAAUUGGCUUUGAAAUACCCCUUGCAUCCCACUUCCAUGAUGAAGACUCCAUUCCCAGGGCCAAGUUCUCUGCACCGCUCCGAGCGUUCCCUUUUGGAUGGUGGCUGCUCCGUGGCUGCUUGCCCACCCAGAUGACGGCUUAGAAAAUGGACGUGGAUCUGCACUGACCUCUGCCUCAGGAAGCAGGUGAGUGCUGCAGCUUCUGCAGAUGAGAAGCUUAAGGUCUGCUCAGCUCUCAUGGCACUAGGAAAAUCCCAGCGUGGCUCAGGAGGCUCGGAUCAGGCCGCUCACUGUUCUUGCAGAGCCCUCCUGCCCUCGCCACGCAAACCCCAGCUCAGCAUGACAGCGCCUUUCUUCACCCCAGACCGGUAAUCAAACAAUCAAUGUGCAAAUCCAGCCCAACCCAGAGAAAUAAUUUGCACAAAACAAAGCAGCAGGGUCGCCCGUCCAAUAAGGCAGGGCAGACUGCUUUGAUUUCUUCAGUUUUAAAGCGUUUCUUAGCAGGUAGGGCUGAAUGCAGCUGAUCUUUGCUGAUCAGGGCGUUAGGUCUGUUUUUGCUAUGCAGCGGUCUGUUGUUUUAAACAACAACCUGUUGGUAGCAGACCCGAGUGAAAAAGCACCAGGAAACAAGAGUUCCAAAGCUGCUCAGGAAGGCGGUGUGUUUGUUCAGCAUUGCACGGAUUUCUGUGUCAGAGGAGAUGGUUGCACGCAUCAAGCCAUGAAUUAGCCGAGGCUUUUUUUGUUUCUUUUGCCUCACCAUUUUAUCAUCAUUAAAAAUUGCAGGCUCAGAGCUUUGAAAUCGCUUCGUUGCGUUAUUGUUGCAAGGGGAAGGUGUGUUUCUCUCGGGUAACGCAACUGGUUUCUGCCUCCACCAGAGUGCACAGCAGGAGGAGCCGGGAGCAGGUAUUCCUGCAGCGCUGGAAAACAGCAGCAGCUCUGCAGGCACGUCUCUGAGUGAGAUGCAGGCACUGCCUUCUGCUGUGGCUUGGCAUGUGAAAGCAGCCCAGCCCAAAUCCUGGCAACACAGACCAGCAGCUUAGAGAUAAUCCUCAAGGACCCAGUCUUUAAGAAAGGGGCUCAUUUUUCCUCCCAGUUGGUCUCUAAGUAUCUGCAGGUAGGAAAUACAGCGGGAGCUGCUUAUCAAUGACAGUCAUCUGUGUUUGUGGGUGUGAAUCAAGGCUCAGCUGCACACAGGACGUUUGCUUAUCCACAGCUAUUUGAACACGGAAAAGAGCAGGCAACUUCUCAGAACCCAGCUUGGCAGGGGUGUUAAGGACCUGUCUCAGUGCAGCUGCCAGGGCCUUUCCUGCACAUUCAGAGCCGCUCCAAACAGAGGAAAGACGUUCUGCGUGUGGUCCGAGGAAACCUCGGCGAGGAAGGUGCAGCCAGGCUUUGAGCUUCAUGGGAAAGAUAUGAAAAAAAGCUAUGAGGGAUUGAGCAAUGCCAUGGCCAGGUACCAAACUGCAAUGUGCAGGGAAGGAAGUGGCCAGCCUACGUUGUACCCGAGUUGGCCAUGGCCAUCCUUAGAUGUGUGUUCCCAAAGCCAGCGACCAAACUCCUGCAGUCCUCAGUGUGAGCAGGUUUGGGUGUAAUAACGUAGCCAACAUUGUCCAAAGUAGUAUUUCAGAUGGGUGGGUUUUUUCCCACUGAUCCCAACAAUAUACAGCUUUUUAGGUUCUUUUUAGUAUGUUUUGGGUCUUGCAGCUGGCUCUGCGUUACAAGAUUCUGCUCCCUCUGCUCUUGCUGUAAUCUGGAGCUUGCGUGCUCUUGGGAGUGAAAAUUAUGCCCAUUGUUCUACUUUUGUGGGUACUUGUGCUGCAGUUCACUGACUUGAUCCGCAGCAAACCUGUUUGUAACUGCAGAUCUCAAGUGGAAGAUUGUUCAAAAGGCUGAUGGAGGAUCGAGCUUAGGAACAGUCGUGAAACACAGAGCUGUGCUGGGGAUGUGGUGAUGCUGCUGUCGCCUCAGUUUUCCUUUACGGAUUCAUCAGCUUGCCAGGUGGAGGGUUUCAAGAAAGCAGGUACAUGCAAAGCUGUUACAACACCCAGUGGAAGCCCAAGGGGAGGGAGACGCUUACUCAUGGAGCCGUACCACGGGCUGAUGAUUCAGAAGCCUGCGUGCCACCAGCUCUGCACAGCGAGCUUCCUUGGGAGGCAGCGCACGAGCAGGAGGAAGGUGCUGACUCUCCUGGUAGUGCUCACUCCUGGCACGAGGCGGUGGUGAAGUCAGGGCUCUAUUUGCACUGUCACGCGAUGCAAUUAGGAAAGAUCUGCUCCUUCUGUCACUGCUGUCUGAACCAGCAAGCCUGUAUCGGAAUGGAAACCGUCUCCGUGUGGGCAGAGGUGUUGACGGUGCCACUUGGUUGCCCAAUAGGUUCCUGAUUACAUAUUAAGCUGGUCCAAAGGGAAGAGGAAUACUGUUUGCUCUAAUGAAAAGAUACAGUUUGUGGGCGAGGAGAAGGAAACCAGAUCAAUGGUCAGAGUUUCUCUGCUGGACUGUGACAGCUGGAAGAGCUUGGCUGCUGCUGCUAAUUCUUGAUAGGCAUGUAUAGACAAAUAGCGUGUGAGCCAUUCCUCCUCCUCGUGUGAUCUUCACUGAGCUUUCUCUCAGCCUCCCUUUACCUAUAAUACAUGCUAUAGUGUUUGAGGAAGUCGGUCCAUCAUUCCAGUGGUAGUGUGGCAUUUGCAGCUGGUGCCUGCAUUGAGGCCUUGGUACUGGGGUGCGUCCACGUGCCCUCCUGCAGGCUCACCCAGCCUUGCCAGACUUGGCCCGUCCACUCGAGCAGCUCGCAAUCUCACUUGGUUCUAGAAAUCCGUAUUUUCAGAGCAAAGGUCCGUGUGAAGAGGAAGAGUGAUGAGGGAGACAACGUGAAAUGGAAGUGCAAGCAGAAGGGAGAACAUUUGUCAGAGCUGCUUGCGGAGCCAUUGAUGUGGCCACCAGCGCUGGGCUCCAUUUACCUGCCCAGUUGCUGGGCCUGCCUGAAUGUACCAGAGAUUAGUAGGGCAGGAAAACACCUGCUUCCACUUAACCGAUACAAGAGGAAACAAAAGGCAAGAAAAGCUAUGGCCUGAGCAACGCAGGACUGGAUGAAAGGUAAUAUGCAGCUUCAGAUUGGCAGUUGGCAGCCAUAACCCUCAAUUUAAAGCAGCUGAGAGUCCCAGCUCUUUAGAUCUGAAAUCUUGCUGCUAUGAAGAUGAAAGACUUUGUUUUCCCUCCUUUUUUUUUUUUUUUUUCCCCUCCUCCCUUUUUUUCUUCUUCUUUUCAUUCAACUGUGGCCAAAUGAUGAAUAGGCAGAUGGGAGUCCGGGCAAACCCAGGUGCCAGGCUGCUAUGCUGGAUAAUAGGCAGCAAGGAGGGGCAGGUAACUGCCAGAAGGAAAGGCAGAAACAUUCAGAUCCUCAUACACGAGCUCAGGGACCCCUUCCUCUUUCCCCUGGGGGAAGAUGAAGUUGUCUGGGACUCUGAUGUCCACAGAAUAGGCUUCAGUGUAGACAUGGGACUGACAUUCUGGUGAUAGAAAAGAAAGGAACUGAGUUUGGCGAGGGAUGCUGCUCAGCAUCUCUUCAAGCAGGGCUUUGAGGAAGGCUUUUUAAGUUUGAGUCUCAAAAUUAAUGUGUUGAACUGACUAUUCAGAAGGUGAGCAAACCUGGGCUCAGCGUCGUUUGAAGUACGCCGUCAGGAGGCUCUUGGUUUUCCUCUGUUUGCUUUGACCGGAGCCAGAACGCUUCUUCUGGCUGCUAACAAACAGGUUACACCAGGGAGACCCACCACAACGCCGCAGACUGGGCCCCUUGAAGUGAUUAAAGGCAGAGCCCAUGGGGCUCUCUUUGGUGCCAGGGUAGGGUUUUUGUGCUUGUGUAUAGGGUAGGGCAGGGAGGAUGCCUUACCUUUCCCUUCUUCACCAGCUUGUGCCCCGCGGAAGUGUAAUUUAAGCCUGGCAGAUCGGACGGUUGGCCUUAAGUUUGUGUGUUUACAAAGAGGGGGGCAAACAGAAGGGAAGGACUGCAAGAUUAUAAAACUUUCUUUCCGUGUUCAAAUAAAGCCUGACUCACCUGCCCACCACGUGUGUCAUCACUGGAGCAGUAAAGAAACAGUGAAACGUACCUGAGACCUUGCACACCACCACUGGCUAAACGUGUUUUAGCUGCAGCGUUUGGCUGCAUGCAAGCUGUCCCUCCAGGUUAUUGUACUGCUGCAAAGAGCAAUACGCUUCUCCCCUCCUCCUUUGCUUGCUUAACUUGUUAAGACAUGGAAGGUUCCUCCUGCUAUGACUCCUCUUCCUGACCUGACAGGUGGUGCCUUGAGCUGAACUUUGCUCUCACAAACAGGGCUGAGUUUCACAGAUCAGCCUCCCAUGGAGUGGACUCACCCAUCUGCCCAGAACUUAGUAAUUCCAGCAAGGUGCACUGCUGCGGCCGUGCCCGGUGCUGAGCCGAGUGCAGGCGCUCGCUGCACAAGCAAACAAGGUGCAAGGAUUCCACGUGCUUAAUCUCAUGCCUCUAACUCUAUAGACUGUGCAACGAGCUGCUGGGCACAGGUACGGAGAUGAAAGAGGUGGAGGCGAUGCAGGAAGUGAUACUGCUGUCUGCAGCCCUCAGAUGAAAAGAGCCAACACCUGUAUGGAUCUGCCCCGCUGUGACCCCUUCCUGCAGGGCUGUGCGAGGAACAAAGAGCUGUAAUAUUGGAUCAGAAGUCCGGCGUGCUUGGCAGCCUGUUUUCCGCAGCUACAUGAUAGGAACUUAGCAAAAAGAAAGAGGAAUGAGCUGCUAAGAAGAAUGGCUGUGAGACGGUUUGUUGAUAGGAGGUGUUUCUUCCCAACAUGAGUAGUGCUCCAUUGGAACCCUGUGGCGAGGAGCACUGCAUCCUUUCUUUAUCCAGUCCAAAGCCGUUCUCUAUAGCAGUGGUUUGUGUUUUCAUGUGAGCAUCCACUUCCUACCAAACUUUUGGUGUCAGUGACAUCCUGUGGUGUAGGGCUGUAUGGAUCUGUACCUGGGUUUGGGGUGGUUUUCGGGGCAGGGUUCCCACCUGCUUUAGCUUAUCUGCAUUUAUCCGAGGAGGAAUUAUUGAUGUGUUUGGUGUGCUGCCGAGUGCUCGUGGCCCAGAUGCAGCCCAUUCGUUCCAAUAACGGCAGAAACGAACGUUUCAGCAGUAGGUGUAACAAGCAGCACGUUAAUCUUUUUAAAGAUGAAAAAUAUGUAAUGAGGUCCUCUCUGCUGUGCUUCAUGGAGAUUUAUAAAGUGCGGAGCCAACACCUUCAGCAGAAAUACAUCAUUACAGCGUGCCAGGAAUUAAAUCUCAUGUCUUAGGUAGCUUAUAUUUCUGGCAUUAUAAUAAGUGAAUAAAUAGACACAGAAGGCAGGCAAGGGUUUGUCCAGUCUGCUGGUGUCACCUCUUGUGUUCAGGCUUGACUUUCCGAGGCCAUAAAGCCGUGGUGAAACCUCACUUCAGCAUCAUGGGAAACCAUUUGUUUACUAUUGCUGCAUUAGAAAAGAAUAGGAGAGGCUCAGCUGGCUGGAUCAUUAUAAGGCACCAGUGGGUAUUGUAUGGCUUAGUCCUCUCCUUAAUGUUCUUAUGCUGUAAAUCAUUUAUUGGGAACUUGGGUACGUCUGAGUCCAGCCGGUACAUAACUAUUUCUGAUAUAAAGGGACUGUUUGGAGUUAAACAACUUUUGAAGAAUAGAAAUGAAAACUGUUUUCAGUUUCACAGGCUUAUGUGGCAGUGUAAUCCUCCUGCUGUAAAUAGCUGUACUGAUGGAAAUAGGAAGGCAUGAAAAAUCAAAGCACUGGGCUGGAACACAAUAGAGUGGAUGUUCUGGCUCUGCUACAGAUUUUUCUAUAUGAUGUUAAGCAAGUCACUUCGGCUCUGUUAAUCCCUCUGGUUCAAUUCCUCCCAUAUAAAAGUGUGCUUAUUCUUUAUAGACAACUUCAGGCCAACAUCAUGACUGUUGUAAGGUACACGGGCACGGUGCCGAUGGGCUGAAUAAUAUCCCAGACACGAAGCCGAGCCUCAUCCCAAAGACAGAUUGGAGGUUCGUUACAUUAACAUAUAUGAGAUUGUCAAGGGGGAUCUUUAGGGAUGUCAAAGAAUUUUGCAGACAAAAUCAGCAUCGCUCUCAUUACAAUGCCAGAAGAAAGUCUCCCUGGCCUGCAGCUUCCAGUGUGCAAAAGAUGAGAAAAUAACCAGCCCGAAGCAAGGUACAACAGCCACACACAGACACUGCUGAGAAUUUACAGCAAACUUCCUUGAAAGGGGCUGCAAAAGCUACAUAGAAAGUAAGUCACUGUUUGGCUUUGUGUUAUUUUAAGUGCUGUUACUAAUCAUGAUUAGGGCUGAGCACCAGUUCUGUGUAAGCCCUUUUUGCACAUCCCUCAACACUUUCAAAACAAGGUUAUGUCGUGGAAGAGACUCCACUUGUCAGCAUCCCAGAAGCAUUCUGUGCAGGGAAGGGGAAACAGGGAUUUUUCUCAGCAUCGAGAAUGGAAUUUCUAUCCGACCUAUCCAGGAGUGAAUACCAGCAGUCUGAGCUGGCGUGUGCUGAGAUUGUUGGGUUUUCAGUCACAGUAGCCCUGAAAGGAUGUAGUAAUCCAGGGCCAGGUCGGAUGGGGCCCUGGGCAGCCUGAUCUGGUGGUUGGCAACCCUGGUUGGAGCUCGAUGAUCAUUAAGGUCCCUUCCAACCGAAGCCAUUGCAUGGUUCUAUGAAUCCAGCUGUAGGCCUCUGCUCUUACUAGCCUGUGCACCAGGACACCGGAGUUCUGGUCGGACUCUUUUGUUAGUUUCUGAAAUUAUUCCACUUGCCAAGACUAAACAAAGGUGGGAUCCAAGCCGCUGCUUUCAAAGAUAAAGAAAUAAUCAGCUCUUGUGGAUUCACCAGCAAAAUCACGGCUGUGUCCUACAGAAAGUCCUCGCAUCUCUUUGUGCCUUAUGUUGCCCCAGUGUACUUUACAUCCUUCACUCGGGAAAGCAGUCAGCAACCCAGCAACGUACUGCUGUUGCAGGUUAGGUGACCGAGGUGGGUUUCAGUGAAACAACCACAUUUCUCAUUCAACAGGUGUUCUAUUCCGGCCGACGGAACAGCCCUGCAAUAUUUCUCAGCACCGAACCGGUGGCUCCGCGUCACGCCAGCCUUCGGGGUGCCGGGGAGGAGCGUGAGGUGGAGCAGGAGCACCGGAUCGGAGCCCACGCUCGGUAAAUAAUCGAUUCUUUGUUCGAGACAAGCAGCGGGGAGGCUGAGUGCCCCCGGAGAGGCCGCCUCGGCUCAGGGCUGAGGCCCGGCCGGCCGCUCCCCACGGAGGACACACCUGUUGGGGGCCAGCGGCCGCAGAUUGGCUGGGCGCGAGGAAUGCACCUGCGCAGGGAGGGGUGAAGGACUACAUGUAAGACGAGCCCGUAGACACUCGCCGUCUCUUCUCAAUUCCAGCUUAAACAAGCAGCAGAGCUCCGGGCUGCGAAGAAAGCCACGCGUGGUUUAAUCCUUUUGCUUUCUUUUUUUUUUUUUUUUUUUGCUUUCUUUUUUUUUUUUUUUAAUUUUCUAUUUUUUAAUUCGGUUAGAUUUCGGUAGGCCGAGAGCACUUUGAGUUGCGUUGUUUUUUUCAGGUACGGUUCUAUUUUUUAUUAUUAUUUUUUUUUUUUGCUCCCUUCGCUCCGUGUGAAUCUCGCUGCGAACGCCUCUCGCUCCGAGUUCGUCUUUUCCAGGACAUGGGGAAGAUCGGAAGACGAAAGCCCCGCCGUGCACCCGCGAUGGUCACUGCGUCCUUUUGGUUGCCCCCUCGAAGGCUGGUGAUCUUGGUUUGGGAAAAGGUGCUGUGCAUUCAGCGCCGAAGUUGCUUGAAUUGUGUGUGUGUUCGUGGUACUGGUAAGCCACGGUGUCCAGGUACUGUGGUAGCAAUGAUCUGAGUAGCACGCGGCAUGACUUCUUCAGUGCUUUUCAUACCUCUGUUCGUCCUCUCCACUUCACUUUUUCGCAGGGCUCUGUCCUCUUUUUUCUUCCUCCUUUUCUCCCCAGGUGGAUUAAAGAGGGUUUUGUUGUCGGGAUCAGGUUUUGUCUGCUCAGUUCUGGGGGAGGGGGAGCGGCGCAUGAAUCCAGCGUUCAUUUUCCAACCAGCCAAACCAGUCAGGGCAGGCAGAGCAGAACCAAGAAACCAAAUAGGAGGGAGCCAUGGGGGAAAGCCAGUUUCACCCAGGUGUCCUGGAGAGCUUGGAAAAAAGACUCCAUCUGAGAAGUCUUACGGCAACUGAAAUGGGACGGUAUAAAAUUGGGGAGAUCCAUCCAAAGAGACGCAUUGCAUUUCAACGAGGACCCAGCUUGGGCAGUGCUAACGGUGACCUUUGAAAUGCAGCACGCUAAUGGGCUCCUUCUCCUUUUCUUUGUGGUGAUUGCCAUUUUUCAAUUAGAUUCUAAAUCAGUUGCCAUCUUAACGUAUUUUACUGCAACCACAAAACGCCCGACCCUCUUGUUUUAGUGGGUUCUUUGGAGCAGGAAUUAAUUCCUCAGCUUCAGCGCUGGAAGUGAAGGAAGGAGAUCUGGAACUUUUCAGACCACCUCGCUGUGGUGGAAGCGAAGGGGAGGUCUCGCCCUUCCUCACUCAUCGCUUUCCGCUCAUGGCACGGAGGAGCCAUUUUGGGUUCGUUUUGUUUAUUCUGUUCUUACCCGAGGCUUUUUCGUGUGUGUGUGCAUGACCAAACGAGCACCAUUAGGGCUUCUCGCUCUCGCUGCCAGCCCGACCAGCCCCUGCUUGCACUGCCUGCUCGGACACCGGGGAGCAGGAGACAAAACAAAGCGCUUGGCUGCCUGGUGAGGUGCGAGCCUGCUCGUGGGCUGCUUCCACAGACGGGAAGAUGGAGGCACCUAAAAAAGCUCCUUUUUGGCUCCUCGUUGGGCUGGCAGCUGGAGGGCGACGCUGUUGACGUGGUAAAUUUGGAUGAGGAGAGAGAGGUGUUUUGUAAGCAAGCAGGCUCCGUGUGUAACGCAGCCGACCGGAUUCAGGAAGAGGCGCUGGGCUGGCUUUGCAGACACUUUGCAGUCAGCAGAAAAUGUUUGCUCACGCGGUCCCUCCACCCCUCCACUGAAAUGGCCUUCGAGAAGGUUCUGCAAGGCGCCGAGUUGGGCCAGCCAGAGCCAGGGGAUGGGGCUUGUCCUGAGCCUGCCCUGAUUGAAUACUGCUGGAUUCGGCUGGUUUCAAAAAGGUCUUUAAUUUCUGAAAAAAUUCGUCCAAUUUGCAUGAAAUGCUGCUGGAUUACUUACCCCCUCCUUUUCACUGAGGCUAGUUCUUGAUUUUUGUUUUUAUUCUUGCCUAUAUCUUCUCUCUGUAAUUGCAAAUAUUGCCUAAAUCACAUUCCUUUGAAAGAAAAAGUUAGAGGCUUUCGUUUUGUUCUAGACUGCUCUGACAGAAGAUUAGUUUGUGCUUGCUCGAGUCUCAGAGAACUGCAUGACGACUGAAAAACUGCAUGCCCUGUUUAUGCACAAAUACCAAGCCAGAUAUGAGCUUUUAUCCAUUCCCUCUUGACUUUUCAAAUUCAGUACCGGUUUCAGUCCUUUUAAUUGGUUUAGAUCCCUUUUUUAAUUUAGCUGGCAUUGCGGCUGUGCCUGACGCUCAGUGCCCACGCAGAGCUGGAGGUUGGUACGUGCAAGACUUCUGCAAGUACCUUCGCUUGUGGGUGUCUAAAGGGCUCUCAAAAUUAAUUUGAAUUUAAUCAUUGAGUUAUUAGAAGUCAUUACUGAAUGAGAAUUUGAGCUCUGAAAAGGCACCGUUCCACAUACGGGUAACUAAAUUGAAGCAACUCAAAGAAAAGCACAGAAAUGCCAGGAUUCGGGAAAGUAUUAGCUAAAUUCUGAAUUCUGUCUCCUUCUCCCAUUCUGCCCAGCAAGCGAUGAGCCUGGUGAAGGCAUAAUAAGUUCUCAGAAUAAUUAUAUCACUCACCAUUAUGAUCAUGGCUGUAUUAAUACAUUUCAGGAACGCUAACAGUCAGAACGUACAAAUCUGGCACCUGAGUGCUGGGGCUGGCCAGCAGCAAACUCUAUUCUCCAGAUACAGUGAUGCCAUCCAGUGUUUCCAAGAGAUCAGGGGCUCAGUGCUUCUCCUGCCCUUGUUAACACCAAGUGCAGUGCUGCUCUGUGCAGGGAAUGAGCUGAGGGGCUGCAGGUCCCAGAGCUGGCCUGACCUGCUGACACAGAUUUACCAGUGCAGGCUGCUGUGUAAAAAUUGAGCUAAGCUUCAUUUCAGAAAGAAAAGAAAAAUCCUCUCCAGAACAAUGCUUUUAAUUUAAUCAGGUCCAAAGUGAAUGAAAGGGCACAUUAAAAUAUGCUUGUAUGACCACAUGCCAGCUGAUGGUAGCGUUUGGAAAUCGCUUCCAUGAGAUAGCCAUAGAGCUGUAAAAACUCUCCUAGGCUUCCCCUUUUGUAUGGAGGUUUGCUCAUGUAGGAAAUAGGGUUUUCUUUGUGUCCUCAAUCUGAAAAAAAAAAUGGAGAAAGGUUGAAGCGCUAAUUUUCUACAUUUCUAACAAAAUAAAGCACAUAAUGGGAUUUCAAAUUGCAAAAAAUGCAAAUUGGACAUAUAAAACGAGUGCAAUCAGGUGUUAAUUUGUUAGAUAUUUUGUUUGCAAAACAAGUUAAUUAGAAUGUCCUUACCAUAUUUCGGGCAGGGGAAAGUGGCCUGAGGAAAUCACAUUUUACAGUCGGGACGCGCAUUUCACAUUAAUUAGUUUUUCUUUUAAGGGCUGUGUCAUUAGAGUCUGAUAAGUCGGCGUUAGAGGCUUACUUUUUAUUUUAAUCUUUGGUGGUGGUGGAAGGAAUGGCAAUCAAUGAGCCAAGCAAACUCCAGAAACAACCUGGUUCGUGCUGAUGCGUUUAAGCUCCCAGCUAAGCCUGGCUGUCCUUUCCAGCUCCAGGUACAGCUUUUAUCUGAUGGAGCUCGAGAUAUAAAGGCUUAAGUUUCACAUGCUUUGUUCUUUUCAUCGUCCGUGCCUAUUGAUUAAGGCUCACCCUGCAGGUUAACCAACAAGUAAUUUUUCCCCCCACUGGAGCUGCAUUCCUUUCCCGACCUGCAGCUGCCUGGGCAAAGCCGGGCACCUCCGUGUCCCCCCUGGCAUAUCUGAUACCCGAUUAAUGGAUACCCCAUUGUUUUAGGGCUGGGGGAACUUUGAGGAGCAAGUGGGGGAGGCGGUAGGAAGCAGAAAAGGGGAGGAGAAAGAAAGGUAAUGCAGGUACAAACCUAAUUACUCCCGAUGUUUAAAAAAAAAAAGGGGGUGGGGUUCACUUAAGUUCCUUGUUUUCCACUCCUCUUCAGUCAUUCUUUCCUUUUUUUCUCAAGGCCUGAACAUUGGUAAUAGUGGUGAUGAUUAACUAAAUGAAGUCGGUAACCUGGGCGACCAUUAGGGUGGUUUUAUAUUUCAUGGGUACCGCAUAGCCGGAGAAAGCACGCCGUUGAGGACUCGGAAAAUCGAGAUGGGGCGUUUGGGAUUUUUCGGUGGUGGUUUGGAUUUUUGUUUCGGGUCCUUUCUUGGAUUGCGCUGCGUUGCUUUGCGUUUUGUGCCUGGCUGGUCCACAACGGUAAGGCUCCGACCGCCUUCCCCCGCGCUCCCUUCUGCUCCCACCUUUCUCGUUCCUUCUCUUCAUGACCUGUUGCUUCUGAAAGAUCCUGGGCACGACCAAAGUGCUCGGGCCCACCCGGAAAAUACUCUGCUGGGGAGAAGGAGGGAGGAUUAACUUCUCAAUAUAUCGGAUAUACGGUAGAUUAAUCGCCUUGGAGAUAUAUUUGUUUUUGAUGAUGCAUCUCAGACUUGCCCUGCUUCUGUCAUUAAGAGUCAGUGCUAUUCCCUCGAGACAAAGCAUUUAAUUUUGAGUUGUCACCACAUUGCCUUGAGUGAACUAAAGGCAGGUGCUGCCUUCUGCAGAACAAGAAGUUUUCCUAACUCUCACGAAUCGCUCGUUGAGCAGGCAGUGGUAACGUCAGCAGCAAGCUGGUGUGAUAGCUCGCGCCAUUUUUUGGUAAAUACGAACAAUUUACCUGCUCUGUAGGUAGUAAAUAAGUCUCACUGAAAGCAGACAAGAAAAAUGAGCUGAAAUUUAUUAGCACCGUGUGGCAGAAGUAGGCUAUCAGUCCCUAACAAACUAGUUUUAUUUUGUGAACUAGGUGGAAAAAAAAUGUGUGGGAUUUUGUAUUUCGAGCUGGUUACGGAAUCCCUAAUUCCUCUGAAAUUUGGGCUGUGCCUCUUGGGGGCACUGGCCCCAUAGCUGGUCAUUGCGAGCACCGUGUUGGCUGGAGCAGAAGGCUGCGGUGUGCAUUCCAACCACGGCCAAUUCCUGGCAGCUCUUGUAGUAAAGAAAAAGAAUUGUGAACGUUCUGUCUGUCCUGCAGACAGGUUGGCACAUGCUGAAGUGAAGACCCAAAUGCGUUUCUCAAAAUAUCACACAAAAUUGCAGUGAACCAUUUCAGCCAGUUUUUUAUAAAAUCAUUUUCCUAACUCUUAUUUGUUGCUAUCAAACUUCUACUGUAGCAGCUACUCCAGGUGCUAAACCCACGAUAAAGCUAAUUUUUGGGUCUCAGACUUACGAUGAUAAGAGCUGUGUAACCUCUUUAGCAGUUUUUGGUAUUAUGGAUAUACACCGUCUUAGGAUUGAUGUUGGUCCUUUGACUGCCAAUAUAGCCAUAAAAUCCCAAGUAUAUAUUUCCUUUGAACUUGUUCUCUACAAUUCACUUUUGAAACUUGUUUCCUAUAUAAAGUUUCUCCAAUGGUACUAAGGAGAAAAAGAACUUAAAUAGAUGCAAUGUUGUGCAGAAGAAAACACAAAGGCUCCUUCUCUUGUUCUGUAUCCCAUUAGUGGCAGCUCUUCGGGAAACCAAGCAGACCAUUGUUAUUUUAAUGGGAGGUCUUGGAGAUUAUUUCACAAUUUUUGUCUUCUACAAUGUUAGAUUUUCUUUGUGUCCCCACAAAACCUCCCAUUUCCACUGCACAGUGCUGAUGGGUAGGUCAUCAAUGAUAAAAAGUUUUAAAAAGAAAAUUCACCAGCCAUUGCUGGGUUGAUUAAUGAUUAACGCAAGAGCAAGGCAUGAGGACUGUGUAUUAGAACUACAUUAUGCAGCUAAGAAAAAUGUGCCUUCGUAGUAGUCAUCUUGGCAUGCUACCAUUGCCCAGCUUAUAUGUGAACACUAUGCAGGGUUGCAGAAUUUCGUGGGCUGUUUUUCUUUCUGUUUAACUCCAGGUGUGUUCUGCUGGUUGGCUCAAUCUGCAGGUGUUUGUCUGGGGUGGGAGUGACUGCUGAGGACGUCGGUGUAGCAUGGGUUGAUGCAUGGGGAAGGUGCUGUCUGCUGCUCCAUUGGAAGUGCCACGUUGACAAAGCAUGCCAACAGUGUGUUCUCUUGAUACAAACAGAGUCUGUGUUUUUAGUGGAAACUGAGCCGGUGAACUUACAAAGAACAUAUGCAAUGUGAGGGCUUUCAGGAUCCCAGUCUAGGGCAUCACAGGACUUUUGAGAACAGGGAAUAGAUGUGAAAGAGGCAUGCAGGAAGGGCUGUAUGGCUUUACAGGUCUGCUCCAACUUCUGGCUGCAUAAUAUUGCCCAUUAGUAGUAAUACACUGGGAGCUGAAUCCUGCUCUAGGCUGACGUUCCUGAUGUGGCAUGAAUGAAUAGUAGAGGAGCUGGCACGUCAAGAAAAGGAUUUUAAUUAAAAAAUAUUUUUCCAUUCCUAAAAGGAGAAGUGGGAAAUCAAAUAAUGGACUGAGGCUUUUCGCUCUUCCAUGGUAAUCCAGACUGGUAUUAUGUCUUUCAGCAUGCGUGAAGGGAAUUGGUUGAUCCAGUUGCAUUUCUUUAAGGACAGGUAAAUUGCAGCAGCACUGCCCUUGCAGAUUUCUUAACCUUUUGUUUGCAAUUGCAAAAGGGAGGAUAAGAAAUGAGGGAGCUUUAAAUGAAGGGGGAAAGCCACGGUUCUCUCCAGGUCCUUGGAGAAGUGCCUGAACACCUCGCUGCUAUCUCUGCUGAUGAAGCACAGCCAUUGCCCCCCUCACACACCUUGCUUCUGCAGCCCUGAACACAUCCAAUGCACUCACCUUGCUUUAUGGAAGCAACUCUGACCUUUUGAGCAGCAUUAGUGAAAGGGCAGUUCUAGUGAGAGCUGGAGAUAAGCUUAGAGCUAGUUUGGCCUCAAGGAGUUUUUUCCCUUAUUGGGAAACGUGUCAAAGUCAGGAGGGUGAAAAAGGCUUUAAAAGAAGUGGCCCUGAAAAAAUUCCUCAUUUCUUGUCCCUCCUGACUUUCCUCUUUGUUUACACCUGCUGUGGAGAGAACCACCUCUCUUCAUUCUGGAUGCUCUCCAUCUCUGGUGAGCAGGAGGGAUGUGAAGAGCUGAUGUAAUGCUGCUCACCAGGUACCGUGGGCACCGGUUUGGUCUGGGUACACAAAGAGCUGCCCUGGUGAAUCUCUUGUCAAGAUUUGGAUUUCAUACUUUUGAGGAACUCUUUCAUGGCAUUGAUGUACGUGUCUUCUGGCUUGAACAUGCGUCUUGCUCAGUGUAACGCCUCUCAGAUUGUUGAAAGGUUUCAGUUGUAAGAAAUGGGCUUGGGAGAGAUCCACCGAGGAUCAUGCCAGUGUCCUUUCCUGCUGAGUUGAUUCCCAGAGCAUCAUAGACAAGAUGGUGAUUGACUUACGUUGUCCUAAUGGCAUCAUGAGAUGGCAUCAGAAAUACAAAGUGAGGCUGGUAAAGGCCCUGAAGCCUGAUGCAGAGGGAGAGGGGUGGCUCAGGGCCUUUUCCAGCGGAGCGCAGACAAUCUGCAAGGAUGCAGCUCUUGCCACUUCUCGUCUCACGAUAGGUGUGUAAAUUCAAAUAUGUGAUUCCACACUCCCCCUCUGAUGCAAUAAGAUAUAUCACAUCAUAGCGCACAUCUGUAUUUGCUAGGAGCUCUGGGUCUGAGGAUCCAUCACCUCUCUUCUCUGAGUAGUUUAUGAAAUCAAUGCAAUUGAGUAUUUUUCCCCUAAUUGUAACCAAGCACCAUGUAAGUUCUCUAAACUGCACUCCAGAAAAUUUUUGCUCUAAUAUCAAGCAAGCACGGUUUUGAUACAUAGCAACCAGAUCUGUUAACACAGCCUGAGGUUUUGUUGUCUGGAAAUCCUCCAUUCUAACUAUCACAUCGAGCAUGUAGGCUACUUCAGACAAAGAGCUAUUGUUCGGUUCUUCUUGUUGACUUUCUCCAUACCGUGUUAUGGAAGCAGAAAAGACACUUUCUUUUCUAAUGGUUACGAGGAGCACAUCUGUUUGCUAGCUGCCUCAGGGAAGCUUUACCUUUCCUGAUACUUACCUAACAGCAACGGGCCAGUGGGGUUCAGUGCAGUCUUGUUAGAAAUAACAGAAGAAAAACAAGCACAACAUGCAAAAGUGACUCCAACCCUCCCUCCGUUCCCCAAAUUUUUUGGCAGCAAUCUUUUUUGUUAUUCCUAGGAAGUCAAAAUGGAUGGGGGAACCACGGGUGUAAUUAUAUUUAAAUGCCAAUACUGGGGCACGGCCCGCAGUACAAGACCUGAAAAGUUGUGCACGGCAGUCUCAGGUAAAAGCUCUCGUAAUGCAACUUGUUUGCAUCUGACUUUGACUUGUCUUUCUCUUAAGUGAAUCUUGAGGCAGUGUUAAAGGACUUACAGUGUAGUGACCCAUCAGUAAUGUCAGGUGACGUGCAGAAAGACGUGGCAGACGGACGUGCCUUAAACUGGUGAGAUUCCAGUUGCAUCAGUGGCUUCUUGUAUCAUUUCAUCACGUUUCGGUCCAGCUGUUUUUCACUUUAUCUCCACCACCUUUCAGUCCCGCUGUUCAAUGGCCGCAGUGCUGCUGAGAGGUUGGGAAGGGCUCUGACCUUCCUGAGGCUUUGAGAUUUCCAGCAAGCUUCAGAACACCAUGGACGGUGUGUUAGUCUUGGCUUUGCAAAGGUAUUCAAUGCCAACGCCGAGCCUCUUUGUGCUGAAAAAGCUGUAGUCAUGUGCCUGGCUGCCGCAGAGAUUUUGAGAACUCGGUGUGUGCUUUUAACAUCACGCAUCAAUAUUGUAAAAAUCUACUCUACAAAAGCCUUGUGAACAGGGAGAGGACUGAAGCCCUCUCAGCGUUUAAAACAACGUGGUUUCCUUGUAAUAACCGCGCUCUGUAAGGUCUUUGGAUUUCCGAAGAAAAACAAAUCUGAUUAAAAGAUGACUGAAAGAAUCAGCAAAUGUUAAUUGCGUAAUAAAAACGUAGAUAAAGCUUGCAUGGUUGGAGGUACUGGAAGAAAGGUAAGAGUUAUUAUGCCUGAGUCUGUAAAGGUGCUGCAUUGCUUCCUGGAUUUUGCUUCUCCCCACAUUUUAAAUUUACUGUAGCAGGUAGGGCUGUAACUGCCCAUCCCUCAAAUGCCAUCUUGCCACAGUUCGCAGCUGCUGAGUGCGUGCCAUUAGGUGGAAAUAGAAGUAAGGACUCUUCGUGGUAAGUGACAGCAGUUGAUAACUGAGGAAAUCUCAAGGGAAGGACAGCUAUAGGUUGUAUUCCUUUUUUUUUGUUUUUCCUUUCUCUUUUUUUCUUCUCCAAACAGCGAGGCUUUCUAGCUUGUGCUAUAUCUGCUGCUUGUAGACCAUGAUCCUGAGAUGCCAUUACCAUCUUACUGGGCAGCAUUGGAUGUUUUCUGUUUUUCUAAUACUGCCUGGUAAUGAUGAUUAUGGUGUUUCGUGUACAACGUGGAAAAGUUCAACAGCGAAUUUGGAAGCAGAGGUCAGUGGCCAAUAGAGAAACCCAAGCCUGACUGACCACCUUUGCUUGGGGAGAUUUGACAAAUUUAUCAUGAAAUGCUUCAGGUUACAGAAUGAAGGGUAAAAGCAAAUAGAAGAAAGUCUCCUUCCUGUAGAAUUAUGAAAUAAUCCCAGAGUGAGCAUGGGAACAGAAAAUCGUGCAGAAUAUAGAGCAUAGCACGUGUUUGAUAUUGCAAUGACAGAAUACAUUCAAAUGAAAAUGCUGAGUAUUGUAGCAUUCAGACGAAUGCAAGUGCUCUUCUCCAAUUAUAUUCUAUUUACUUUCAAGCCAUGUUAGCUUUCCAGAGAACAAAAGCAAACACAUUAGCAAAAAUUAGCAUUUGAGUUUUCUAGUUUAUAGUUUUCCCUCCAAAUCAAAAUGUUCUUCUAAUCUAAAUAUAAGAUAAUUUAAGGAACAGACAGCUGAAAUCAAUAGGGGAGCUUAGUUUUUCAGCCUUGCUAUUAUCAUUUGCUCUGUCCUUUUCACAUCAGCUCCUCCAGACUUCUCUCCUCCAGCGGAAAGCUCCAAUAGCAAAACCGCUUGUUUUAAAACCUUCAGCUUUUAAGUAACGUUUUUUAUUUUUAUACAGAUGGCUUUUUAAUGCCAAUUUCUCACUUCUUGGUGAGAAAGUGGGGCUGUUCUUAAGCACCACUCUCCCCUAAUGGUUUUCAUUAUUUUGGUGGACUAACACUACAAUGUGCUUUAAGGUGGCAUGGACCUGAUUCUUACUCCGUGGGGUUUCUUUCCAUAAAUUGGUGGUACUGCUUAAAGUCAUUAGGAAAGAACUAGCUCAGUCUAAAAGGACUUACUGCAAGAAAGCUGCCUUCAGUGGUUCACAGAUGCUUUUUGUUUCUUUCUGAGAAUUAAGGCAAUACAGGAAGCUUUACUCCUCCAGUUAUCAGAUACUGGAGGUGCAGUCUGAAAGCUAUCACCAAGAAGGGAUAUUGCUGCUGAUAGAUGCUUUUAUCGGGCACGGGGUGCUGUGGGCAGGUGUGUCAGUGUCCCUGGCAGGUAGGAAACACUCCAGAACACAGCAGCCCCACACACAAACCCAGGCUCCUUAUGGGUCCUGGUGUACUGCAGUGUUUAAUUAAGCACAGAGGGCUGCUUGGUCUGUGAAUGCCCAUCAGAAGUGCAAAGCCAUUCACAGACACACAGCCUGGGUGAGAUGUGUUGCGUGACAGUUUAGACCUAUACAAAGCUUGCACCUACCGUGUGAAACGCUGUGCCAGGGCCACAAAGACUUGCGAGUACCUUAGGGCUAUGAUAAAUAUGCAUGCAGCAGAGCAGUGAGGCUCAAAGCAGAGCACUCCUGCUACUGAACCAUAGUGCCUGAGAGGUACAGCCAGCUCCAAGGGGCCAGGGAAGGAGCAAACCCUGCUGCCCCUCCUGCAUGGAGAGAGGGUCAGCGGCAGCCAGAACCCCAGCAUCCCUACCAUGGCACAGAGCUCUUAGCUAACAGAACGCCUCGUGGCUCAGAACUGGGCUAGAUUUCUACAGCAAACCUCUGGAAAAGAUAAAAUGAAGCAAAGCAGGCAGCUACCCUUCAUCUUCGUCAUUAGCAUUCAUUAUGCUUAAUUACAUUACCAACAACUGCACACCUAGGUCCCCUGUCACUUUGAUUUAAGAUUCAAAUUCGUCUGCGACCCUUCAACUCCAGCUGUACAAUAAAGUAAUGUCAGUGAACUGUAUUAAAUGCUGGGUUAUCUCUGACACAUUUUUGUGCCCUUCUUAGUGCUGAUUUGUUUGUACACCAGAUUUCAGUUUGUUGUUUUAAUUGAUUGGAAAGACUCAGAGUGCUGGUACUUCUGUGAAUCAAAAGGGAGAAGGGAAUGAGGAAACCUAGAAACCAAAGGAAGGAAAUCUUCCUUCUCUUACCUUGUACUGAAAUAGAACCUAAUCUUGUGUUUCUAUUUUAGAUUUUCAGUACAUCAACUUUCUGUAUCAUCUUUGUCUCCUGAAAUCCACCACGAACUUCAAAUUAUCUUUCAGCACCAAACGUCUUCCUUCUGCCCAUCCCAUAUCUGGUAAAUUAUUGACAUGCCCGGUGAUGUAAGACAAUCUUUCUCAAGCCACUUCCAUUAGUUUUUACGGGCCACUGACAUCCUGAAGAAUGUGGACUCAUUAAAAUAGAUGCUCCAUUUCUCCAGCUGCUGGACAGACGAUGGUCCUCUGUGGGCAUCUUACUAGACAGUGCUGGAUUUCUUGGAUCUAUUCUAACACUGUCUGGUAACGAUGUUUAAAGGGUGAACCAAACAACACCAUGCGUCAGGAGGAGUUCUCAGAGAAAGACACUGUGCCACGAUUUAGGCCGAAUUGGAACAUUUGGCCAAGAGGGUAAGGAUGUUGGCUAUCGUAUUAAUGAGUAUUUUUAGGCAUAGCAAAUCGUUAUGAUCGCAAAUAGUUAUGAUAAAGAAGCUGCUGGAAACCACCCUGCUAGGCAUUCCUACUGCAGUAAAGAAGGUGAGGUGCAUGCUAGCUCUAGCACACAAAUGCACGCCUUCUCAGAAGCACAGCACUGCACAAUCCCUCCAAACGGUGGGGUUAGGGCUACUGGGUAUUUGUAUGGCCCAGCUCUUGCCCAGGGGGCUGAAAGAUUUGCUGGUAGCUUGCCGUGCUUGGCCGUGAGAGGCGCUCAGGGCAGGAUGCUGGUGGUAAAGGUCGUUCUUCCCAAUUACAGUUCAAUUACCUCCAUGGCUGAACAGCCUGUGAACUUUCAACCUUCUAACCUGCCCUGUUGCAGGCAGCGCUGGCAGCAUAUGGAGCAGGUGGGUUAAUCGCUCUAAUCAUUCCAUUAAGAAACAAAGCAAUUUAACCCAGGCAAGGAACAAGUACUGAAUGCAGAACAUGAACAUGCCAGCUCCCCAGCCAGUGCGAGUUAAUGGUGCUGCAUGAACACGUGCUGAUGUGCAGCCUCGCAUCUCUGCUUGGGUCCUGCCUCGACAUCCAUAGUUGUAUCGGUAUGAUGGGGCAACUAGAGUGGGGCCACUAAAAAAUGAAAUUCAGUCUGCACGCAGCUCAGAGAGAAGGUCAACCUAAAGUCUGGAGCUGCCUGGACCUUAGGAUCAUAUCCCAGUUCUAUUCCACAUUUAAAGCAUUGAUUUCCUUUGGAAGAUGAUGAUCUAGAGCAGUAGAGUUAACAAACCAGUAACUUUGACUUCAUCCAAAUCCGAAUGAAAAUUUGGGCACGGCCUACCUCCAGAGAAUAAGAAUUCAAGGCAGGACUCAUUAACAGGCCACUGUACGAGCUGAGACUCACCCUUACACAAGGAGCGUUGGUGCAUUUCUCAAAGAACAUCAAGUUUUGGGGUUCCUGGGGACCCGCUCUGGUGUGGGAUAGCGCACAGACCUGGUGCUGGUUUUUCAGAAUUGCGCCCAUUGGUUUUCAGCUCCUUUCUGUAAGAAACAUAGGGGAACAUUACACACAAGCUUGGACCACAUGCUCCUCUCCCCAGCUCUUUCUACAGGCUCCCGGGACUGCUCUGUGCUUGAAUCACAGCACUAAAACCUUUUCCUCAUCCUCAGCUUAUUGCUAAUCCCCUCCUUCCCGGAUAAAACAGGUACAGCAGCCCAGUGGCACGCAAGCAAAAAAACUCUCAGUGCCUUUUCAACCCUGUCCAGGAUGCUGUCGUACCAAAACUACCGCGUAAUACAGGAACAGUAGAAAAAUGAACCAAAGGCAGCUCCCACAGAGGUGCUCUUGCCCUUGCAGGUUGCAGUUCUCAGGAAAACGAGGGCAGGAGGGAGCAGAGGAGCAUUCUUUGGUGAUUAGCCUCUGUGUGACUUAUUAACUGGCUCACAAGGGAUUGAGGAAAUGGUGUGAAAUUUGAGUGAUUCUGCAAAUUGGCUUUUAACAAGCAUUUAAAUAAGAUGAAUUGGAGCACGCACCCAACUCCCAUCCAUCUUCUCUUCUUAAAACUCGAGAUGGAUGCUAACCCUGGAUGGAAUAAAAAAAAAAAAUAAUAAAAAAGGAAGAUAACAGUAAUUGGGCAUCCCCGGCAUGCACAGGGAUGUCACCUUAAGUUAAAAAGGGAAAAAAGCAGUGGAACCAAGGAAAUUCCCCUGCCCUCCCUCAUGCUGAUUUAUGCCUAGGAAAGCGUCCACUCAGCCUUAUCAGGGCGAGAACAGUGAGUCAUGGGAGUCAGGAGCAACCCAGCGAAAUCCCCUCGGCCUCAGUAUCUUUCCCUCCCUCCCCUUCUCCCACCGACAUUCAGCUUGCUUAGCUCAGUCUCAUAGCAGAGCAAUUCCACGGGCAGAACUGAUGCUCACUGCGCUAGAAGAGCUAAGACCCAGUCUGCAUUAGGCUUCACUCGGGCUGGGGGUUCAGUAUCGAUGAGCACACAGCUGUGGGGGGCAGCUGAACCACAUCUGCAUCCCUGCUGGGUGAUGGAGCUGCAGCACACGGGGAUGGCAAGCAAGCAUUUCACAGCAACGUGGAUGUGGAGGAUGGAGCCGGGGGUAAGUUAAGCAAGUUCUUUACAGUAUGUUUUAGUUCUCAUGCCAGCGAACUGCAAACAGUGGCGUUCUCACGAUUGUACUGCCUGUAUUUCAAGUUAAAUAUUUACUGGUUACUGAUGUGUCUAUGGGAGAGGCCCUCGGCCUUUCCCCGCCCCAUCACUGUAGUCCUGGAGCUGAAAGAAGUGCUUUCCUGUUGGUUUCCUUUAGCCUGCUGAUUGCUGUCUUACCAGGCAAAGUUAGAUCUAGCUAUUUCUGUCUAAUACUGUCUGGUAAUGCCGUCAAUCGCAUCGGCAAAAGUCUUCAUCUUGACAGAAACACGGAGGGAAAAGCUGGCUUCUGUCAGAAGAACCAAGGAGGUUUGGUGCCCGGGCCUUCUCGCUGAGCCUGGGCUUGUGCUGAAAGCUCAUCCACACGCACUGCUUCUGUUAGCAGCCAAGAUGUGCUGUAAAGCACACGCGGGAGAUGAGGAAAGUCAAAGAGCAGGCGGUGAGCACGUAGGCAGGGCAGGCAGGUAGGGCAGGCUCCUGUGCAGCUAACUGCACGUUGGUGACUUUUGGACCCCUUAUCAGAUUUCUCUGAAAUGCGAUGGGCAGAGCUGUACCAACCCAAUGGCAAUGAGAAAGCCUUCCUUCAGGAAAACAACCCACUGGGGCAGAGGCCGGCAUUGCCCAGGACAGAGUGAGCUCAGCUGGGGCUGAGUGCUCCUGUGCUCAGCACAGAAAGCUGAAAGCAGAAAGGUGCUUAAGACAUUUCUCUGAGUGAAUUUAGGCCAUUUUGCCAUCUGAGUUCACUCUCUGCUCAAGCAGCUGCUCCCGUUAGGAAAUAAUUUGUUAGAUGAGCAGAACUUAACAGCAGAUCAGUACAUCCUGCUACUACACUGCUACUUCAGAUAAGGGCUACUUAAUUUUUAUGCCGCUAGAAAAGUGCUUCUUAAAAGCGUCAUUAAAAAAAGGGUCUGCAAAGCCCUCGGUUCAGCACAUCUUCUGUUCGGGAUGUGGUUAAGUUAUGCAGUAGGAAGGCGGACUUCCUGAAGAGCGCUCUGGUUCUCUACCAGCCAAAAUUCGUCCUGCCCCUAAUGAGAGCCAAGCAAUAAGCUGUGCCAGCUGCAGGGUUUCAGAGCAGCGCAGCAGGAUGUAUUCCCGACCUCACCUGAGGAGCACCCCGAGGCACGAGAACAAGGAUGGCACAGCUCUAUCCUCCAGCCCAGUCUCACUCAAUUGUCAGGAAUUUCCCAUUAGGAAACCUCCCUGCCCCACACUGCUCAGACAGUGCAGAUGGUAUCUGUGUCCUGCUCGCAGUGACUCAUGCUGGCAAGUCUCAUUUUGCAGGGUACAAGUGAUAGCCCUUUCCAUAGUGCAGCUCUUUCACAGGAACUUGCUGCUUCCUUUGAUAUAUUGCAGCGUCUCCUCUAGACAAUUUUACACAUUUUCAGUGCCAUCCCUGAACUGCAGCUGCUGGAUUCCUUGUUUUCCUUUCCUCUGUGUGCUCUCCUCAUCCAACACCUCUGCAUUUCACAGGAGUUGGAGUCUCUCAUCAAAGUUCCCGUUUCUGUUUCUCUCUGGUGCUCAAGUGUCCCUUUGGAAUUCAGGCGUUCCUUGAAAUGAAAGGAGCCUGACCUUUCGGCAGCACUGCCCUUGGCUGGUUAUCUUUAAAAGAAGUGAAAACAAGAACUACCUCCAUCUUCAUAAAAUGGGUUCUUGGUAAGUUGGUAAUACCGAAAAACAAACAAGCAACGCAAUGUCCCGGUUAGGUGGUUUUAAAGGGAAAUAUGUACAACACAUUCUCAAAGAGACUGAGGAUACAACUACAGUCCUUAACACUGUGUUCACAUAUUUCUUUUACUAACUGCUGCAAUCACGAUGAUGAAUAUUUUCACUGUUUUUUUUAAUCACUAGAAUCCACAUGUGUGGACAAACAUUCCAAGGUUUUCUGCACGGAAAUAGGAAGAAAAGUUCCCCUGGCUGCUAUCACAUAAAUGCAUGUGUAUGCCCUACCUAGUACUGAACUUGCUGCUUCAAUGCCUUAGAGUUUAUGCUUUGUUAAGCUUUUAAACUCUGUAUUUAAUAAAAGACUUAUUUGGAAACAAUA